rnacentral:lncRNA from 1 species
GCAAGAAAUACAAUGAGUUAGAGAGACAAGUGAAAGGGUUAAGGAGAAGACAUGCAGAAAAGGUAAGUGAAACUUAUGGUGCAAUGAGAGAAGGGUACCUUAAUAAUAUAGGGCAGUGGAGGAGGCCAUUUAUCACUCACUUCACUGGGUGUCAACCAUGUAAUGGGCACCAUAAUCCUAAUUAUGCUGCUGAAGAUUGUUGGAAUGGCAUGGAGAGGGCUCUUAACUUUGCUGAUAAUCAAGUGUUGAGAAAAUAUGGUUUUGUGCAUAACAGUCUCAUGGAUAAGGCUGUUUCACCUAUACCUUUUGAUUAUCCUGCUGUGUGAUACAAUAAGAUAAAUCCAUAUUUAUUCCUGUGUAUCUUAUUGUUAAGGUUAUUUUUUAGUUUUGUUUGAAAAGGUUAUUAUUAAUAAAAUAAUUAAGAGUAAAGUAAAAAUUUAUUGCCUGUCCCAAUUUGGUCCUAAAAAACUGAAAAACCCAAAGUAAAUAAGUAAUCCCAAAAAUAUCAAAUGCGAGUCAAAUUAAUCAUUUUAAACAUGUUUUAUGACAUUUGUUAUUAUAAGCAAAUGCAUUAAAAAUGGGCACAAGGGUACUAAUAUCAAAUGCCAUGAUGAUUAAGCAAAUAUAAGUCAAAAUAGUCUAUAUCAUAUGUCAUAAAUUGAGUAUUAUAUCAUCAUUCACAUAAUUGAGUACUAGUUUUUUAUUUUUUGGACAUCAAAUCAGUAUACACUAAAAUUUCUAAGGAUUAAAGUGUGUAUUCACUCAAUAAUUAAAAACACAAUAAUUUAGUUGGCUGCAUUUAAUGAUCAAGCCAAAUUUAAGGUCCAAGUCUUUAAUGGAACAUUUAAAAUAUAAAUAAUAAAAAAAUUACCAGUAGCUAUAAUAAAAUAAAAAAAUAUAACUAUACUGAAUUAUUUAUUUAUGAAAUAAAAAUAUAGUUUUUUUAAAUGUGUAAAAGUUGAUAGUAAUAUUUGAAUGAUUCAUAGGGUUCUGUUAUGAAACCCAUAAGAAGAUAAGACAAUCCGCACCUCUACACAAUUGAACAAGUUACACUACCAUACGCUACCCAAUACAAAAAAACAAAUGAACGCAUUCUUAAAAAUGGCAUCAUCACAAGAAGAACACACACAGCAUCACAAUAAGAACUCUCACACCAUCACAAGAAGAACACACACAUGGCUUCAAAGUUCAAUUCUAGAAGCAAACCCUCACCAUUGCUCUCAAAUGGUUGCAUCUUCCUUGGAGGAGCAUUAUCAACACUUCUCCUAGUUUGGGGUUUAUGCUCCUUCAUCAUUCCAAUUCCAAACUCCGACCCCAAACUCGACUUAGUAGCUACAAAACUAAAAUCACUAAAUUGCACCACUGACACCAUCACCAUUGUGGCACCCGAUACGUUGCAUGAUGCACUUGAAAGAACCUUUUAUGAUGAUCCUGAAAUGGCUUACACCAUGGACAAUCCAAUGAAAAAUUGGGAUGAGAAGCGUUUGGAGUGGCUACAACAUCAUCCAUCAUUCUUAGCAGGAGCACGAGAAAGGGUGCUUCUCGUGACAGGGUCACAACCCUCACGGUGCCGCAACCCUAUUGGGGAUCAUCUUCUCUUAAGAUUUUUUAAGAAUAAAGUUGAUUAUUGUCGAUUACAUAACUAUGAUAUAUUCUAUAACAAUGUGUUGAUCCAUCCAAAGAUGAACAUUUAUUGGGCCAAGUAUCCGAUGGUUCGGGCCACCAUGAUGGCCCACCCAGAGGUUGAGUGGGUUUGGUGGGUCGACUCGGAUGCGGUCUUCACUGACAUGGAGUUUAAGCUCCCACUGAACCGUUACAAGAACCAUAAUCUUGUGGUUCAUGGUUGGGAGGAGCUUAUACACCUUAAUCGUAGCUGGACUGGGCUAAACGCUGGCGUUUUUUUGAUGAGGAAUUGCCAGUGGUCAUUGGACUUUAUGGACGCGUGGACCAGCAUGGGCCCACAAUCACCAGAGUAUGAGAAAUGGGGUGAGGUCCAAAGAUCCACAUUCAAGGACAAGGUACGUAUACUACAAUAGAUCCUCUUAAUUUUAGUCUAAGCAUAUCACAUGUGACAGAAUUUGAUUUUAACGAUAAUUACCUAAUAUUAGAUAUUAAUAUGUGGCAUGUGAUCGCUGCUUUUUACAUUAUUAUUUUAAUUUUUUUAUAACAAACUCAUUAUAUGGUAUGUGCCAUGUUAAAUUCAGUAUGCAUUACAUAAACUAAUUGAAUUUUUUUUAUAUAAUUAUCAUUCAAACUAUUUCUCAUCCCAUCUUUUGGUAUUAAGUAUGCAUAUUUUUAGAAGUACCAUUCUCUAUAUUUUCCGCCCAUUCCAUAAAGUAAACACGACUACACUAAGUACUAGCUAUGAUUUCAACAAUUUCUCUUUUAUGUAUAAACCAUGUAUACCUUACUGAUGACAUAUCAUUAUCAUGCAUUGGAAAAAGUUGUUUGUUCAAGUCACAUUUGUCAUCCUAGAAAUGAAUUUUUGUAUCUAUAAUUAAUACUACUGUCAUAUAAAAAUGUACAUAAUUACAUUCAUUUUUUUGUUGCAAUAAUCUCAUUCUUAUUUUGAUUAUAAACUAAUAUUGUUAUGUCAUGUUCGGUAUAAUUUUUAAUUGACAUAUAAUGAAAUUUUUGAGAAGUCUUAAGAAUGAUUUAAAUAUAUGAUAGAUUAAUUUAUUUUAUUCUGUUUUUUCUCUUCAACUCUUCACCUGGUCUAACACAUGCUGAAAAAUAAGAUUGAUAUUGUUUAUUAUAUUAUUUUAUACAUGAUUUAAACACAUGUUGAAUUAUUUCUCUGAUUAUUAAUUGAUUUUGAGAUUUAACCUUAACCCAAAUUAGAACCAAAAUGAAUUUUUUCUUUAUGGAAAACUAAUAUAAUCUAAACCUCCAUAAGGUGAUGCCAGAGUCAGAUGACCAAACAGCCCUUGCUUACCUGAUAGCAGUAGAGAAGGACAAGUGGACAAACAAGAUAUACUUAGAGGACAACUACUACUUCGAAGGUUAUUGGUUAGAGAUUGAAAAAACAUACAACAACAUAAGCAAGAAAUACAAUGAGUUAGAGAGACAAGUGAAAGGGUUAAGGAGAAGACAUGCAGAAAAGGUAAGUGAAACUUAUGGUGCAAUGAGAGAAGGGUACCUUAAUAAUAUAGGGCAGUGGAGGAGGCCAUUUAUCACUCACUUCACUGGGUGUCAACCAUGUAAUGGGCACCAUAAUCCUAAUUAUGCUGCUGAAGAUUGU